rnacentral:lncRNA from 1 species
GUGGAUUAAUGACCCUUCCAAAACACCUUGGAGGUUGAGGAAAUGGAUGUUGCACAUAGAAGUCUUAAAGAAAAGAGUAACAAAUUGGAAGAUUAGACACACGCUGAGGGAAGGGAAUCGGCAUCUUACUUAGGAAUGAAAAGGGAGAGGUCCUUAUCAAAUUUUCCAAAGCUAUAGGCAGAGGAGAUUCAAAUCUGGCAGAAUAUCUAGGCAUUAGGGAAGAUUUCAUCUUGUUCUCAAAUUCCGAAUGGGCGCACAACCACUCCUUUGUUAUCGAGAGUGACUCAUGAAAUGCCAUCAGGUGGAUUAAUGACCUUUUCAAAAUACCUUGGAGGUUGAGGAAAUGGAUGUCGCACAUAGAAGUCUUAAAGAAAAGAGUGAUAGAUUGGAAGAUUAGAUACACGCUGAGGGAAGGGAAUCGGGAAGCUGAUCUCUUGGCUAAGGAGGGAGUGGGCAGAGAAAUUGACUUGAUUGAAUUUCAUAUCCCGAUGUAAGCUUCUUGGGCUUUAAAGAGGUAGCCUUCCUCGUUUCUCUUUUU